AUGCCAAUUUUGCGCAGUGUGUCUACCAGUACAGCCACAACAGCCUUUGCAUUCCCACGACCCAUGGCUCCUAUUGUGACAGCUGAGGACCGAAGAGGAACAGAUGCAGCAAGGCCGCCUUCAGACAGCAGUAAGAUUGCAUCCCUCCGUAACUUCAAAAGAGCACGUGGAUUGUGCUUCAAAUGCGGAGAAAGAUGGGGCAAAGACCACACAUGCCCCACCAUAGUUCAGAUGCACAUCUUUGAGGAACUGCUCGAGUUAAUUAGCCCUGACGAAGAGAGUCUUGGUGACAAACAUGCCGAACCUGCAGAGACAGAGGACGACAAUUUGUGUGUGUUGUCUAUCCAUGCAGUAGCUGGCUCGGAAGGCCCCGGCGUUAUGCAGUUACAUGCUUGGCUACAGGGACGGGAGGUUCUUCUGUUGGUGGAUUCCGGGAGCACGUCCUCAUUUGUGGAUCAACGUCUAGCUGCUCGACUGAACGGGGCGUUGCCGUUGUCCAAGCCUUGCAAGGUUAAGGUAGUUGACGGUGCUCUACUACUCUGCAAUAUUGUCAUUCCUCAGUGUCAGUGGACAUGUCAAGGACAGGAAUUCAUCACUGAUUUAAAGAUCAUUUCAUUGGGAGCGUAUGAUGCCAUCUUGGUCAUGGACUGGCUCAAGAAACACAGCCCGAUGUAUAUUGAUUGGGAGGCACACCAUAUGUCAGUAACCACCAGUACAGGAGCUAUGGAACUUCAAGCUAUAGCAAAGGGUUCCCACCAGUGCUCUGCAAUUUCAUCUCAAGAGCUUCUGAAUGCUUGCAAACAAGGGUCUGUAGCUUAUGUGGUCCAUCUGAACACUGUAGCACAGUAA
rnacentral:rRNA from 1 species